rnacentral:ncRNA from 1 species
GAUCCGUAGCCGGGCGGAUCAAACGACACACGCGGUCGGUGGCAGACGCUGCCCUCCGCAGCCGAGUUCAGCGGUUGUGUCAGCAGUCGUCGUCGAAGCAAGCUACUCCGGUGACAGGGUUUAUCCCCAUACUGCGUUCGUACUGACC